rnacentral:rRNA from 1 species
AGUGAACGCUGGCGGUAGGCCUAACACAUGCAAGUCGAACGGCAGCACAGUAAGAGCUUGCUCUUACGGGUGGCGAGUGGCGGACGGGUGAGGAAUACAUCGGAAUCUACUUUUUCGUGGGUGAUAACGUAGGGAAACUUACGCUAAUACCUCAUACGACCUACGGGUUAAAGCAGGGGAUCUUCGGACCUUUCGCGAUUGAAUGAGCCGAUGUCGGAUUAGCUAGUUGGCGGGGUAAAGGCCCACCAAGGCGACGAUCCGUAGCUGGUCUGAGAGGAUGAUCAGCCACACUGGAACUGAGACACGGUCCAGACUCCUACGGGAGGCAGCAGUGGGGAAUAUUGGACAAAGGGCGCAAGCCUGAUCCAGCCAUACCGCGUGGGUGAAGAAGGCCUUCGGGUUGUAAAGCCCUUUUGUUGGGAAAGAAAAGCAGCAGGUUAAUACCCCGCUGUUCUGACGGUACCCAAAGAAUAAGCACCGGCUAACUUCGUG